AAUAAAGUGCCUGAUUAAAGGAUUAUUCUGAUAGGAUAAAUAAUGUAAAUAAAAUUACCUUUAUUA
rnacentral:tRNA from 1 species